CGAAUGGAUGAAUGCAUAGAGGCGUUGGCGGAGGCUCGGCGCCAAUCUCGGUGCCGGAUUCUGUACCAGGGUCCUAGGGGCACGGCCUGGUUCUUGGGGGAGCGGGUACUCCGGCAGACUACGGAGCUCACACGGUUCCCAGUCGCCGCCUUCUACUAUGUUGCGCCUCACAAGCAUCCUUACUAGCCGUCGGGCGGUGCUCCGACGGGUUACGCCUGCGGGCGAUCUGGUGAUGCUUGACCGCAACUAUCUUGACUUUGUGCGGCUCCGGAUCAUGCUUCCUCCGGUCGUCGAGCCUGAGCCUAUUUAUCUCGGCAGUUGGGCGCCGUCUGGUUGCACGAUCCGUUAUACCACGACGGGUGGGUCCAGGAUCAUGGAGGAGGUGCCUAUGAUCCCUGAUAAGGAGGGAUCUCAUCCGUUGGUCCCUGCUGAUGUUCGCGUGGUGCCUGCUAGGAUAGUCAACCGGGUGGUGCGCGUAGUCAACUAGCUAAAGGUCGCGUUGUCCUCGGCUUGGGCUGCUCUUUCCUGUAGCAUCCGAAACUCAACUCAGACUGGCGUCACAGGCCCGUAUGCCGGAGCUGAUGCGGACACCUCGGAGGGAUCGACAUUCUUUCGAGGGCGAUCGUGGUGUCUCCCGAUCGCAUGCUAGGCCUUGCUUUUCGAAUGUCGGUUUGGGUCAGAGGCCCAUGCGGCCACCGACUGGACUAAGGAGGAGUCAUGCCAGGCCAUUCGGGGUGCCACAGUCUCAAAGGGGUUGGCAGGCUCCUUCGUUUCAGCCUUUCCAGACCGGUUGGCAUCCUCAUCCAUUUCAGCCAGCUUUCCGUGCUAGGUGGGUGCCUGCGGCUGGAGACGCAGAGUUGGGACUCUUCUUAGUUCGAGACCUUGUUUGAUGGUCUGCAUGAUUCGCAGGGUGCUGGCACGAGUGGCGGUGCUCAUGGUGACGAGGAUGAGCCUCAGUAGGCCAUAUACAUGCAUUUGCUUUUUUUGGACAUGUAUCAUUUUUCGUAUUGUGCUACAGACAUUUGUACAUAUUGUUGCCUUUUGUACUUAGCUUCUUUUGUGUUGUCUGUGCGUGCA